UGUCGUCUUUCCACUAAG
rnacentral:snRNA from 1 species